rnacentral:rRNA from 1 species
UCCGUAGGUGAACCUGCGGAGGGAUCAUUACCGAGUUAUACAACUCAUCAACCCUGUGAACAUACCUAAAACGUUGCUUCGGCGGGAACAGACGGCCCUGUAACAACGGGCCGCCCCCGCCAGAGGACCCCUAACUCUGUUUUUAUAAUGUUUUUCUGAGUAAACAAGCAAAUAAAUUAAAACUUUCAACAACGGAUCUCUUGGCUCUGGCAUCGAUGAAGAACGCAGCGAAAUGCGAUAAGUAAUGUGAAUUGCAGAAUUCAGUGAAUCAUCGAAUCUUUGAACGCACAUUGCGCCCGCCAGUAUUCUGGCGGGCAUGCCUGUUCGAGCGUCAUUACAACCCUCAGGCCCCCGGGCCUGGCGUUGGGGAUCGGCGGAAGCCCCCUGUGGGCACACGCCGUCCCUCAAAUACAGUGGCGGUCCCGCCGCAGCUUCCAUUGCGUAGUAGCUAACACCUCGCAACUGGAGAGCGGCGCGGCCAUGCCGUAAAACACCCAACUUCUGAAUGUUGACCUCGAAUCAGGUAGGAAUACCCGCUGAACUUAGACAUAUCAAUAAGCGGAGGA